rnacentral:lncRNA from 1 species
AAGAUGAACCUUUUCAACUUUACACCUCACAGCAUUCUGGAUCCAGGUGUUUAUUCGGAAAUUCUCAUUAACACAGAAGCAAGGUUCGUCAAGCUCUUCAUCACUGUGACCAUCCCAAAACAGACAAAAGCUCUUCAUCUCAUUAUCCCCACGACUAAGCAAGAACCUAUCCAAUGUAUUCACCAACUUCAACCUAAGCUCACACGCCAUAUCCGCCAUUUCAUCUGUAUUAAAUCCACAGAAGUUCACCGACGGAGACGACAGACAUAACUCUCUCCAUCGUUUGGAGACACAGCAGAAUCUAGCAAGGUCUUUAACCACAAAAUCAGAAAGAAUGUGAUGAAUAACUCCCUCGGGAAGAUUGCUAAAUCUGUCUAUCAUAUUCACAGUACAGAGCCCUUCACCCUCACAACUUCCAGUAGCCAAUGACUUACGCUUCUGUGCCAUCAUACUUUAACUUCUAUUUCUCCAAAUCUACAAUAACAAGAGAAAUGAGGGCCAAAUUCUCUAAACAUAAGUCAAAAGAAUUUCACACCAAAAUUCUCUUACAUAUAUAAUCUGGGUUUAGUUCAAUCAAUGAAAACUAACUAAUUUAUGCUACAAAUCUACGAGAAAUUGAUGACUGAAACUGUAAAUUAUAUUCAUUCAAAUUGUGAGCUAGAGCAAAAACAGAGUAUUGAUAGUGUAGAUAGAUUACGUACCACCAUUGAUGUACCCAACAGCUGGAAUUCGAUGGAUUGAGAGUUGACUCCGGAAGCAGAACGAACCCUAAUUUUGCAGAAUUGGGGCGAUUCUGAAAUGAAGACUCGCAUAUAAGAUAGCUAGAGAAGGACUUGACCCGUUAAACAUGGGUGCGGGUCGGGAAAAUAGCCCAAUAAUCAGAACCCAAAAAGAGGCCUGCUAAAAUAUGGCGGGAAAGUAGAGAUUAUGUGACUUUUCAGUCUCUUUAGCCUCUAUUUUGGUAACUGAUCAUGCUUAUGUAAAUUACUGGAAAUUUAGUUGAUUGGUAAAAAGUUGUGUUUUCUUUUGGAUCAAUUGAGUUUCUGGAAACAUAAAAUCAUGGUCAUGAGGAUCGUUUAUCUCUCGAGUCUCGACUGUAAUAAAAGUAGUGAUAUGGGUCUAAUGUUUGGUUUAUGCCAAAUGUAUUUUUUUUUUUUUUGGUUGUGGUUUAUGGCAAAUGAUGAGGCCAGGAAAAGUUUGUAACUUCGUUUUUCUGUGAAAUUUCUUUUUUAGCUUUAUGGAAGACGAGAGAGACAUAUUCAAACUUGCAAAGGAAAGCAAUCGUAAUAGCUCAUAAUCCCGUACUCAAUUACACAUUUGACCCAACAAUCAUGACGAGCCGUCGUCCCGGCCGCUCCCCGCUCCUCAACCCAUCACCCUUCAACAUCUACCUCUUUCCACCCUUCAAAUUGUCACUGUUUUGAGGGAUAAGUUGGAGCUGCAGGCGGAGUACAGGUCGAAGUGGUAAAAAAAGGAUGGAGGAACAGAGGAACAAGGAUGAGACUCAUGAGAGUGAGAUUAGGGAGAGUCUGGUGAGAUUAAACAAGAUAAGAUGGCUAACACAUGCGAGGUUGAUGUCCAUCACUAACUCGGGGAAAUAUAGGACAUUCAAGGGCACGUGAAUAUGCCUCGGGAAAAUCCAGAAAUCCGGAAACUUUGCAAAAGAUUAAUGAUAGGACAGGAUCAGUACUCAUGUUCAAAAAUGCAAAUGCCUGUGCCCAGCCACCAUGAAGACCAUGACCGAGUGGGCAAGAUAUGUGUUUACUCUGUCACGACUCACGACCAGUAUGAUCCAUAAAAUAAGGCAGAUACUUUACACUAAUAUCAAACCGGAUCAUUCAACGUUACACACGGAGUCUGAAAUAACAUAAACAGAAAGUCAGAACUAUCAAGAGGAUCUUUCAUAAACCUCGAAUGAAGGGCCUUUCAUAUUCCUCGAAAGUAACUGAGGGAUUGGAGAUCAUCUUACAUUCUUUUAACUUCCCUAUAUCAUUAGAUUGCUCGGCUAAAUACCUAAUGACCAUUUUCUCCAGGCUCUCAGCAUGCUCAAGAAUAUACCUUGCUAACUCAAUUCCAUUAAACUCAGCACUAAGCUCUAUAGUAACAUACUCAACCUGAGAAACAAACCCCAGGUUUUGCAUCUUCCAAUACUCCAUAUCAAACCCAGAUGUCUGUAAAAAAAAAAAAAAAGACGAAAACAAGCAACUGAGUUUCAAUUUUUUAUUUUAAGUCACCAAAUACAAUAAAGAAAGGAAAUCUAUAAUUAAAAAAAGAGAGAGAAGAAAGUAAAACUGCAUUAUCUGUAACACAAAAAAUAAAGAAGUAAAACUGCAUUAUCGUAAAAGAAUGAAGAAUAUGCUACUGGCUCUAAAAAUGAUGAGAUAGAGAAUGAAACGAACUUAGCUUACAUUAGAUUUAGGGUCGAGUUCGGUAGGUUUAUACCAAAUGUGUAAAGAACACAACUCUGGUAUUCCUUUUAAAAGACAGAUGACUGCUGGGACUAGAUCAUCAGUAAAGCUACCAAUAUUUAUUUGCAAGUACCAAACAUGAUCUAACUGAGCCAGCAUGCAUUCCUCCUUGUAUGCAGCCUGCAACAAUAGUAAGGUAGUACCUCUAUCAUUUUUGUCAUUCUCUUUUAAACAAAAUAUAUGAACAUUCAAUAUUGUUACUGAGACCAUUAUAAAUGUAGAAUUGGAUUGAGAGAACAAUGGUGAAAUUGUAAGAAACAUUAUGUGGCCAAGUAAUAUGCAGUCUCAGGGUUUUCAAUUCCUUUACCUUGAUGGUAGCUUCAUUUAGAGUAAGAGGUUCAACACUGUACAUACUGGAAAGAACAUCAUAUACUUUGUCAAACUCAUCUAUUAUAGGCUCCAUAAGAAUAACAGCUUCUUCCAAACAUUUAAGUUCUCCCAGAUUCUGGUCAUUUUUCACAUUCCCCUCCAAAUUUAGAAGUUUGACAUUUGGAGCAACAAUUUUUAAUACGGUGCAGCUAGGUGAAUGCUUGCAGUCGACAUUUAUUACUUCAAUGUUCUCACCAGAGAUGUUAAUACGACAGGUUUCAUCAACCUUGUAAUUAAGGAACCAAAAUUUUUCCAAAGAUGAUCUUUCGAUAGUGAUAUUAUGUAUCUCAGCAACUUCUAUAAGAGAUAUCUGCUUCAAGGAUUUGCAGGAACAGGAAAUCCACUUGAAAAAGCCCUCGUCGUGUAUAGUAACGUCACUCAAAAACAACUUUUUGAGAUUGGAGGAUAAAGUGAAUGAGGGUGUUUUAACAACAGUAUGCGGCAUUUCAACCACUAAAGACGUCAGCGAUGUUGAACAAAAGACGCAAGAUGGAAAUGCUAUUCGUUCUCCAUCAUAAUCAAAAUACUCGACUACAAGAUGAACCUUUUCAACUUUCCAGGUGAUGAUUCAGAAAUUCUCAUUAACACAGAAGCAAGGUUCGUCAAGAUCUUCAUCCAUGUGACCAUACCAUAAAAGAUAAAAGUUCUUCAUCUCAUUAUCCCCACGACUAAGCAAGAACCUAUCCAAUGUAUUCACCAACUUCAACCUAAGCUCAC